UGGGGAAUAUUGCACAAUGGGCGCAAGCCUGAUGCAGCCAUGCCGCGUGUGUGAAGAAGGCCUUCGGGUUGUAAAGCACUUUCAGCGGGGAGGAAGGCGGUGAGGUUAAUAACCUCAUCGAUUGACGUUACCCGCAGAAGAAGCACCGGCUAACUCCGUGCCAGCAGCCGCGGUAAUACGGAGGGUGCAAGCGUUAAUCGGAAUUACUGGGCGUAAAGCGCACGCAGGCGGUCUGUCAAGUCGGAUGUGAAAUCCCCGGGCUCAACCUGGGAACUGCAUUCGAAACUGGCAGGCUAGAGUCUUGUAGAGGGGGGUAGAAUUCCAGGGGUAGCGGUGAAAUGCGUAGAGAUCUGGAGGAAUACCGGUGGCGAAGGCGGCCCCCUGGACAAAGACUGACGUUCAGGUGCGAAAGCGUGGGGAGCAAACAGG
rnacentral:rRNA from 1 species